GGUCAGGUGGGCUGCGCCUGUAGUGGUGCGCAGAACAACACCAACGCUGAACUUACUUCCCGAAACCAGGGUCAAAUAGUCUGGUCAAAAAUACUGGUGAUCUGUCUUAUUUGGAAAGGAGACAGGCAUCAUCCAAGACCUCACAGACACAAGUUGACAUCCAAGCUUUUCCAAGUCCAUCCAUCUCAGGCAGCCCUGUCCCUGUGUCGUGAUGUCAGGCCCCGGGAGAGACAGUGAUCUGGAGUCGGACCACGCAGUAGACUGGUCCAUGAUGGACAUGCGGCUGGACUCGUUCCGGGGUUCCCCCCUGGCCCAGCAGGUGUCAGCGGAAAGGCUGGCCCGUGCUGGGUUUUACUUCACAGGACAGGCUGACAAGGUGCGCUGUUUCAGCUGCCACAAAACUGUAGAGAACUGGUGUGGAGGGGACACACCCGCAGAGAGGCACGCGGAGGUCUCCCCCAACUGUAAGUUCCUGAGCUGCACCCAUCGUUCCAGGGUCAACUCUCUUCAAGGUGCCAUGCUGACCAACGAACCCCACUACAACGAAGACGCAGAGGACAUGGAGUUCCGCCUGAGAACGGGAGAGGUGGUGGAUGAGUCCACCUACCCCAUGGUCCCGCACAUGGUCAGCGAAGACUCCCGGUUCAACACCUUAGGCCCGUGGCCCUCCACAUCCCCGGUCCGGCCUAGAGAGCUGGCCCAGGCAGGGCUCUUCUAUCUGGGGGAGAGUGACCGGGUGCAGUGCUUCUGCUGUGGAGGGAUGCUGGGGGGCUGGGAGCCUGGGGACACGGCGUGGGGGGAGCACUCCAAACACUUCCCCUACUGCUUCUUCAUACUGGGGCAUGAUGUGGGGAACCUCCCCUCUCAGGCGGGGAGAGAGGAGGAGGUAGGGGAGACCAGGCCACGCCCGGGUCCUCGGGUCCCCAUGCAGAGCUUUGAGGAGAGGCUAGGCAGCUUUGCAGGAAUCCAGCACCCUAUUGACCACGAGAGGCUGGCCAGAGCAGGCUUCUACAACACAGGAGCUCCAGACCGUGUGGUGUGUUUCUGCUGUGGUGGAGGUCUGAAGGGCUGGCAGCCGGACGAGAAUCCCUGGGAGGAGCACGCCAAACACUAUCCGGGGUGUAAUUUUCUGCUGACAGAGAAAGGACAGGAGUUUGUCAGCAGUGUUCAGUUACAAGGUCCUGGCUGGAACACUGCUGCUUCAAGUCACCUGAAUGGAUGUUCAAGUCACGGAACAGAGGUGCUGAGGUCAGCCAUGGCCCAGAGGGCGGUAGAGAUGGGUCUGGAGCCUGCCCUGGUAGAGAGGACCAUACUGGAGAGGAUACGCAGAGCUGGGACAGGCUACUCCACCCUGGAGACUCUGCUGCAGGACUGCUUUAACAGAGGCCCUGACAGCGACGCAGAGACCGCAGAGAACCAUGAUGAGGAUCCCUUUGAGAAGCUACGGAAGCUGCAGAGGGAGAAACAGUGCAAAGUGUGUAUGGACAGAGACAUCUGCAUCGUCUUCAUCCCCUGUGGGCACCUGGUCGUCUGCAAGGAGUGUUCCGAGGCCCUCGACAAGUGUCCCAUCUGCUGUGCAGCCAUCACACAAAAGAUCAAGACAUACAUCUCCUAACAUGCAAUCUGGUGUCAGGGAUUGUCAUCUCCAGAGUAGGAGUGCUGACCUUGGAUCAGGUCCCGUCUCUUAAUCAUUAUGUUUUAAAAGGCAAAAGUGAGCCUAGAUCAGCAGUCUUAAUCUGAGAUGCUUAAUGAAUGCUGGCCCAGGAGGAUAACUAUUUUAAUUGGCAAUGCUGCUUUACCACCUCAGUGAUUUUAUAAACACAGGCUUUCCUACUACACAAUGUACAUAUAGAAAUAUUAUAUUUGAGGAGGACCACUGUAAAUAUGAAUAAGAGAAUCAUGGAAAGUGUGGGGAUUUUAUUUUUCAAUGAUUGUUGUAUAGAUGACACUUCCUUGUUAUGUGACGUAUCAUUGAGGUUCACCCGAUAAUACCCAAGAGGCAAUGGGCCUCACUUUCCCAUCUUGGUAUGUGACCUUUCAUUGAGGUUCACCUGAUAAUACCCAAGAGGCAAUGGGCCUCACUUUCCCAUCUUAUGUGACCUUUCAUUGAGGUUCACCUGAUAAUACCCAAGAGGCAAUGGGCCUCACUUUCCCAUCUUGGUAUGUGACCUUUCAUUGAGGUUCACCUGAUAAUACCCAAGAGGCAAUGGGCCUCACUUUCCCAUCUUGGUAUGUGACCUUUCAUUGAGGUUCACCUGAUAAUACCCAAGAGGCAAUGGGCCUCACUUUCCCAUCUUAUGUGACCUUUCAUUGAGGUUCACCCGAUAAUACCCAAGAGGCAAUGGGCCUCACUUUCCCAUCUUGGUAUGAAGAUUCAAAGGUUGAGACUAUAUGGAGUACAGCUAUGAACAGAAAUGACUUUACGCAGCAGGUUAGGUAAAGGUUAGGGUUAGAUAAAAUGCUACAGUUGUCCCUGACGUGAGUUGAACAUGCAUCUUUUUGUCCAUGGCUGUAUCCAUCUACCCACAGUUCUGAUACUUACAUUUGAGUAAUUUAGCAGAUGCUCUUAUCCACAAUAGUGAGUGCAUACAUUUUAAUUUCUAGGUCCGCUGUGCAGCACCAUGAUCUAGCGUUGCAGCUAUCAACAGUGCCUUUUCCAACAAUCUCAUUUACUUCUGUGUGUUUUCUUUAUUCAGACUAUCACAUCAUUUCCAUGUUUUCUUCAUAUUUCUCUUAAAUUUAUGAAGUUGUUGACUGGGCUUUUGUUAUUGGUUUGCAAGUCAUGUGUUUGUAGUUAGUUUCCAAAGUACAUGUUUCUGAAGUAGAAGUUGUGAGAGUUCCCAAACGUACUGUCUGUUCCUUGGGCCAACUAGUAUGCUUUCAGUGUGGGACUCUUUUAUGAUUCAUUAUGUGUGCUCUUGUGUGAAUAAAUAGAUGAAUUGUAGACUUGGAUCAAUUUCCAUUAUUUAUAUAUAACGGCAUAACUGACAUCCACUUAAUUACUUGAUUUAGUUCUAGAGAUCACGUCCAAAUAUUAUACCCCUUUUUUAAAUUGUGUUGUUCGGAAAUUAAUCUUUUCAAGUGCAACUCGUUUGACCAAGACUGGAAAAUAAAUGUUUAAAAAAUG